AGUUUGAUCCUGGCUCAGGAUGAACGCUAGCGGCAGGCUUAACACAUGCAAGUCGAGGGGCAGCAUAAUGGAUAGCAAUAUCUAUGGUGGCGACCGGCGCACGGGUGCGUAACGCGUAUGCAACCUACCUUUAACAGGGGGAUAACACUGAGAAAUUGGUACUAAUACCCCAUAAUAUCAUAGAAGGCAUCUUUUAUGGUUGAAAAUUCCGAUGGUUAGAGAUGGGCAUGCGUUGUAUUAGCUAGUUGGUGGGGUAACGGCUCACCAAGGCGACGAUACAUAGGGGGACUGAGAGGUUAACCCCCCACACUGGUACUGAGACACGGACCAGACUCCUACGGGAGGCAGCAGUGAGGAAUAUUGGUCAAUGGACGCAAGUCUGAACCAGCCAUGCCGCGUGCAGGAUGACGGCUCUAUGAGUUGUAAACUGCUUUUGUACGAGGGUAAACGCAGAUACGUGUAUCUGUCUGAAAGUAUCGUACGAAUAAGGAUCGGCUAACUCCGUGCCAGCAGCCGCGGUAAUACGGAGGAUCCAAGCGUUAUCCGGAUUUAUUGGGUUUAAAGGGUGCGUAGGCGGUUUGAUAAGUUAGAGGUGAAAUUUCGGGGCUCAACCCUGAACGUGCCUCUAAUACUGUUGAGCUAGAGAGUAGUUGCGGUAGGCGGAAUGUAUGGUGUAGCGGUGAAAUGCUUAGAGAUCAUACAGAACACCGAUUGCGAAGGCAGCUUACCAAACUAUAUCUGACGUUGAGGCACGAAAGCGUGGGGAGCAAACAGGAUUAGAUACCCUGGUAGUCCACGCAGUAAACGAUGAUAACUCGUUGUCGGCGAUACACAGUCGGUGACUAAGCGAAAGCGAUAAGUUAUCCACCUGGGGAGUACGUUCGCAAGAAUGAAACUCAAAGGAAUUGACGGGGGCCCGCACAAGCGGAGGAACAUGUG
rnacentral:rRNA from 1 species